GACGAACGCUGCCGGCGUGCUUAACACAUGCAAGUCGAACGAAGAGGCGAACGGGUGAGUAACGCGUAAUCAACCUGCCCUUCAGAGGGGGACAACAGUUGGAAACGAUAUCUAAUACCGCAUAAGGAAGGAGGGGAUUGCGGCUGAUUCGCAAGUUGGAGGGGUAACGGCCACCAAAGGGGAGGAUCAGUAGCCGGUCUGAUAGGGUGAAAGGCCACAUGGGGACUGAGACACGGCCCAGACUCCUACGGGAGGGAGCAGUGGGGAAUCUUCCGAAAUGGACGAAAGUCUGACGGAGCAACGCCGCGUGAGUGAAGACGGCCUUCGGGUUGUAAAGCUCUGUUAAUCGGGACGCGGUACCGGAAUAGAAAGCCACGGCUAACUACGUGCCAGCAGCCGCGGUAAUUC
rnacentral:rRNA from 1 species